UCCGCCUUGAAAACACGGAAUUCCGAACCAGGAUGUUUCUUUUCCUCGUGGACAUGCAACAUCUGGGGGGGGGGGGGGGGGAGAGAUUUCAAAAGCUGCCCAGAGUUCCUGCAAGGAUGCAGAUAAACGAUGAGCUUUCUCAAUGGACAGACUGAAAGUGAUCGUCGCACUGGCCGCAUGUGAACUCCAGCAAUCGUCGGUUAUUGCUGCCUUUUACACGUGUUGGACAUGGAAUCCAGGGGGUCAGAGACACGGACACAUUGGACACGGACUAAUUCCAUCUACUUUUUUGAGCAAGGAAUCAAGAGAAAGCCUUCUGCCUUCUCUUCCUUCCUUGGCAAAUCCCAAUGUCCUGCUGUUUUCAUUUGUUUUUGAUCUGCCUCAUUAAAAGACUAUUGAUGGCUUUAA